rnacentral:lncRNA from 1 species
UAAACAACAACACCUUUUUUAUGUCAGGACAAUGUGAAGAGUAUCCUAAGGGCAGGUAAUGGGAUAAUGAGGAGCGGAUACAUAUUUCAGAUACAAAAAAAGUGUUUUACAAGAAACCGACGGGGUCCGGUCGUCCGUUGGGGACAGGAGUGAAUGGACUGUAGAUGAUCGGUGUGACAUUAGCUACUUUUCACUGAAUUUUUGUUCAGGAAUACAUGUAAUGCCCACAAAUAUGUGAACUGAUUACACAGAUUUCAGGAUUCAUAUAAACAACAUUCAGCAUCUGUAACUGAAAUAUUGUGCUUGUAAACAUGCCUAAAACAUCCUCCAAAAAAUACCACAGCGGUUUUCUCUUUCAUGAGUGUGGUGCUAAUUAGGUUAGCCACUUAACACACAAUAGGCUUUAUAUUUAAGAUGCGGCGCGCCUCCCCUCGCUAGCUCAUGUUAGACCACCCUCCGCUGUCCCUGCCCUCCCCUCGUCUUUGUUUAUGGCCGAGUAUCAUUUUAAGCAGUUAGGGCCUGUCACAGACAUCCAAAUACUUUAAUUGGGCCUGAUUUACACCGGUCCGAAUGAACAGCAUCUCCGUCGUCGAGCACAAACAAGGGGCCCCCGGUAAAUCAUGGCUCUGUUAAUAGGGCCAGGCAAACAGUCAGCUGAGCAUGCCGGAGCUUUCCCGUGCUCCUCGGGAGUUGACCAGCCCUGUGUGCCUCCUGCUGCAAGUGUGGGAUUGGAGGAAGCCGGAAUGGUACUAUUAAUCCAUGGCUAAUCAAAGGGCAGGAGAUGGCGCCGGGCUCCGGCGUACUGGAAUAUUUGGCUUCCUGCUAAAGAAUGCUAAUGGUGAGCACAUGUACGGUACCGUCUUCGCUUAUUUAAUCUCGCCUAACGAUAUGAAGGAGCCC